AUUGAACGCUGGCGGCAGGCCUAACACAUGCAAGUCGAGCGGAUGAAGGGAGCUUGCUCCUGGAUUCAGCGGCGGACGGGUGAGUAAUGCCUAGGAAUCUGCCUGGUAGUGGGGGAUAACGUCCGGAAACGGGCGCUAAUACCGCAUACGUCCUGAGGGAGAAAGUGGGGGAUCUUCGGACCUCACGCUAUCAGAUGAGCCUAGGUCGGAUUAGCUAGUUGGUGGGGUAAAGGCCUACCAAGGCGACGAUCCGUAACUGGUCUGAGAGGAUGAUCAGUCACACUGGAACUGAGACACGGUCCAGACUCCUACGGGAGGCAGCAGUGGGGAAUAUUGGACAAUGGGCGAAAGCCUGAUCCAGACAUGCCGCGUGUGUGAAGAAGGUCUUCGGAUUGUAAAGCACUUUAAGUUGGGAGGAAGGGCAGUAAGUUAAUAACUUGCUGUUUUGACGUUACCAACAGAAUAAGCACCGGCUAACUUCGUG
rnacentral:rRNA from 1 species